rnacentral:lncRNA from 1 species
CCGCACUUCUUCGUAAAGGCCAUCAAGGUCCUAAUGUUUGCAUGUUGUGGUUUGAAGAUCUAUUCAGAGCAGGGCUGGUGGCCUGACCUGAGUAAAGCCAAAUAGGUCCUGAGCUUUCUCCUUCAGUGUCAUGUGGCUUAACAUAGCAAUUGCAAGUUUGCUGUUGGAGUGGCUGAUGAGUUGAGAGCUUCACAUAUAAGUCCCUAUUUAUGUGUUUGGCUAUACAAGAAGCAUGGCACCAGCAUCUGCUUCUGGUGAGGACUUAUGGAAGUUUCCACUCACGGCAGAAGGGAGAGGGGAGCAGGCAUCACAUGAUGAGAGAGAAAGAAAGAGAGGAGAAGGUGCCAGGUUCUUUUUUUAACAAUCAGAUCUGGACCCAGGAACUCAGAGCAAUAAGUCACUCAUUACCCCUUCCACCAGGCCCUGCCUUCAACCCUAGGGAUCAAAUUUCAACAUGAGAUUUGGAAAGGCCAGACAUCCAAACUCUACUAGCCUAUCAGUAGCCCCUUACUCUUCCAAGAAUAAGGACAUUCCUGCAUUAAAAUGUAUAAUAUAAUGCUGAGUGAUAAGCUCUUAAAAUAAAAGUAAAAAUAAA